rnacentral:rRNA from 1 species
AACGAACGCUGGCGGCAGGCUUAACACAUGCAAGUCGAGCGCCCCGCAAGGGGAGCGGCAGACGGGUGAGUAACGCGUGGGAAUCUACCCAUCUCUACGGAACAACUCCGGGAAACUGGAGCUAAUACCGUAUACGUCCUUUUGGAGAAAGAUUUAUCGGAGAUGGAUGAGCCCGCGUUGGAUUAGCUAGUUGGUGGGGUAAUGGCCUACCAAGGCGACGAUCCAUAGCUGGUCUGAGAGGAUGAUCAGCCACACUGGGAAUGAGACACGGCCCAGACUCCUACGGGAGGCAGC